GACAGAGGGUGCAAACGUUGUUCGGAAUUACUGGGCCUAAAGCGCACGUAGGUGGUUCGCUAAGUCGCGUGUGAAAUCCCUCGGCUCAACCGAGGAAUUGCGGGCGAUACUGGCGAGCUAGAGAUCGGGAGGGGUGAGUGGAACUCCAGGUGGAGCGGUGAAAUGCGUAGAUAUCUGGAGGAACACCGGUGGCGAAGGCGGCAUCCUGGACCGGUAUUGACGCUGAGGCGCGAAAGCCAGGGGAGCAAACGGG
rnacentral:rRNA from 1 species